rnacentral:rRNA from 1 species
ACUUUCAACAACGGAUCUCUUGGCUCUCGCAUCGAUGAAGAACGUAGCGAAGUGCGAUAAGUAAUGUGAAUUGCAGAAUUCCGUGAGUCAUCGAAUCUUUGAACGCAAAUUGCACUUCCUGGCAUUCCGGGGAGUAUGCCUGUUUGAGGGUCAGU